rnacentral:tRNA from 1 species
GAAGGUAUAGCCCAAAUGGUAGAGUGCGUGCUUAGAAUGCAUGAGAUCCUGGGUUCAAUCCCCAGUACCUCCU